rnacentral:rRNA from 1 species
UACGAAGGGGGCUAGCGUUGUUCGGAAUCACUGGGCGUAAGGCGCACGUAGGCGGAUGUGCCAGUCAGGGGUGAAAUCCCGGAGCUCAACUCCGGAACUGCCUCUGAUACAGCACGUCUUGAGUUCGAGAGAGGUGGGUGGAAUUCCUAGUGUAGAGGUGAAAUUCGUAGAUAUUAGGAAGAACACCGGUGGCGAAGGCGGCCCACUGGCUCGAUACUGACGCUGAGGUGCGAAAGCGUGGGGAGCAAACAGG